CGGAGCAUGCGGAUUAAUUCGAUGCAACGCGAAGAACCUUACCAAGGCUUGACAUACACCGGUAACGCCCAGAGAUGGGUGCCCCUUUGUGGUCGGUGGACAGGUGGUGCAUGGUUGUCGUCAGCUCGUGUCGUGAGAUGUUGGGUUAAGUCCCGCAACGAGCGCAACCCUCGUCCUAUGUUGCCAGCGGGUCAUGCCGGGGACUCAUGGGAGACUGCCGGGGUCAACUCGGAGGAAGGUGGGGAUGACGUCAAAUCAUCAUGCCCCUUAUGUCUUGGGCUUCACGCAUGCUACAAUGGCCGGUACAAAGGGCUGCGAUACCGCGAGGUGGAGCGAAUCCCAGAAAGCCGGUCUCAGUUCGGAUUGGGGUCUGCAACCCGACCCCAUGAAGUCGGAGUCGCUAGUAAUCGCAGAUCAGCAACGCUGCGGUGAAUACGUUCCCGGGCCUU
rnacentral:rRNA from 1 species